rnacentral:rRNA from 1 species
UACGGGGGGGGCAAGCGUUGUUCGGAAUUACUGGGCGUAAAGGGCUCGUAGGUGGCCAACUAAGUCAGACGUGAAAUCCCCAGGCUCAACUUGGGAACUGCGUCUGAUACUGGAUGGCUUGAAUUCGGGAGAGGGAUGCGGAAUUCCAGGUGUAGCGGUGAAAUGCGUAGAUAUCUGGAGGAACACCGGUGGCGAAGGCGGCAUCCUGGACCAAUACUGACACUGAGGAGCGAAAGCCAGGGGAGCAAACGGG